UACGUAGGGUGCGAGCGUUGUCCGGAAUUACUGGGCGUAAAGAGCUCGUAGGUGGUUUGUCGCGUUGUUCGUGAAAACUCACAACUCAAUUGUGGGCGUGCGGGCGAUACGGGCAGACUGGAGUACUGCAGGGGAGACUGGAAUUCCUGGUGUAGCGGUGGAAUGCGCAGAUAUCAGGAGGAACACCGGUGGCGAAGGCGGUUACCUGGAGCUUUGCUGACGCUGAUGCGCGAAAGCGUGGGGAGCGAUCCGG
rnacentral:rRNA from 1 species